AACUAGGAAAAAGAACAAAAUAGCGAAAGACAUAUAUAUAUGGAACAGCCAAGUGAUAAACACAAAUAGAAAAAGUUGAAAAACAGGAAUACUCUAUAAGGCAUUCAAUUACGAACCGGGAGAACGACAAGUUUCAUUCACAGUAGCAGCUUGCACUGUCGGAGACUCACUGGACAAAACGACAUCAGCUAAUUCUGAAGAUGAAUCACUAAUAUACCGUUUCAAAUCAUUGAGAGAAGACUUUAGAGAUGGAUCUGAUGAAAAGUUCUGAAUAUAUUCUUCGUCAACUUCACGUUCUUUGGGAUGUGAAAAGGAUCUUUAUAGGUUAACAAUUGAUACGAAAACAAUGAAAUAAAUGAAAACUUACAUAUAUUCCUGUAAACGAUUUCCGACUGGC